rnacentral:rRNA from 1 species
UACGGAGGGUGCAAGCGUUGUCCGGAUUUAUUGGGUUUAAAGGGUGCGUAGGCGGGCUGAUAAGUCUGGUUUGAAAGUCAGCGGCUCAACCGUUGAGGGUGGCUGGAUACUGUUAGUCUUGAAAUUGUUGGAGGCAGCCGGAACGGAUCGUGUAGCGGUGAAAUGCAUAGAUAUGAUCCAGAACACCAAUUGCGUAGGCAGGCUGCUACGACUGAUUUGACGCUGAGGCACGAGAGCAUGGGGAGCAAACAGG